rnacentral:rRNA from 1 species
CAACUCGCCUACANGAAGUUGGAAUUGCUAGUAAUCAUAGGUCAGCAUACUAUGGUGAAUACGUUCCCGGGCCUUGUACACACCGCCCGUCACACCAUGAGAGUUGGGAAUACCCGAAGCCCAUGUCAAAGUGGUCGAAGGUAGGCUUGAUGAUUGGGGUGAAGUCGUAACAAGGUAAC